AGCCGCGGUAAUACGGAGGAGGCAAGCGUUAUCCGGAAUCAUUGGGCGUAAAGCGCCUGUAGGUUGUUUAAUAAGUCCGUUGUUAAAGACUAGGGCUUAACCCUAGAAAAGCGAUGGAAACUACUAGACUUGAGUAUGGCAGGGGUAGAGGGAAUUUCUAGUGUAGCGGUGAAAUGCGUAGAUAUUAGAAAGAACACCGG
rnacentral:rRNA from 1 species